CUACGGGUGGCUCCAGUGGGGAAUCUUAGACAAUGGGCGCAAGCCUGAUCUAGCCAUGCCGCGUGAGUGACGAAGGCCUUAGGGUCGUAAAGCUCUUUCGCUGGGGAAGAUAAUGACGGUACCCAGUAAAGAAACCCCGGCUAACUCCGUGCCAGCAGCCGCGGUAAUACGGAGGGGGUUAGCGUGGUUCGGAAUUACUGGGCGUAAAGCGCGCGUAGGCGGAUCAGAAAGUUGGGGGUGAAAUCCCGGGGCUCAACCCCGGAACUGCCUUCAAAACUCCUGGUCUUGAGUUCGAGAGAGGUGAGUGGAAUUCCGAGUGUAGAGGUGAAAUUCGUAGAUAUUCGGAGGAACACCAGUGGCGAAGGCGGCUCACUGGCUCGAUACUGACGCUGAGGUGCGAAAGCGUGGGGAGCAAACAGGAUUAGAUACCCCGGUAGUC
rnacentral:rRNA from 1 species